rnacentral:rRNA from 1 species
AUUGAACGCUGGCGGCAGGCCUAACACAUGCAAGUCGAGCGGAUGAAGGGGGCUUGCUCCUGGAUUCAGCGGCGGACGGGUGAGUAAUGCCUAGGAAUCUGCCUGGUAGUGGGGGAUAACGUCCGGAAACGGGCGCUAAUACCGCAUACGUCCUGAGGGAGAAAGUGGGGGAUCCUCGGACCUCACGCUAUCAGAUGAGCCUAGGUCGGAUUAGCUAGUUGGUGGGGUAAAGGCCUACCAAGGCGACGAUCCGUAACUGGUCUGAGAGGAUGAUCAGUCACACUGGAACUGAGACACGGUCCAGACUCCUACGGGAGGCAGCAGUGGGGAAUAUUGGACAAUGGGCGAAAGCCUGAUCCAGCCAUGCCGCGUGUGUGAAGAAGGUCUUCGGAUUGUAAAGCACUUUAAGUUGGGAGGAAGGGCAGUAAGUUAAUACCUUGCUGUUUUGACGUUACCAACAGAAUAAGCACCGGCUAACUUCGUG